rfam:Triticum aestivum genome assembly, contig: Triticum_aestivum_CS42_TGACv1_scaffold_560281_7AL
CCGAUACUCCCUCCGUUCGGAAUUACUUGUCGUAGAAACAGAUGUAUCUAGAUGUAUUUUAGUUCUAGAUACAUCCAUUUCCGAGACAAGUAAUUUCGAAGGGGGGAGUAUAUG